UGAAUAUAAUAAGUCGCGAACAAGCCCACAUGGAGCAUUCCCAUUUGUCAAAGACAACCUAAAGGUUAUGAGUGUGGUUACUACAUUAUGAUACAUAUGUUGAACAUUGUAUCUAGUGGUCUUGUUGAUUCAUGGAUGCGAAUAUUUGGAGAAUCAAAACCAUUCGAAGAUGAAGAAAUGAUGAAUGUCCGACAACGUUGUGCAAACUUGAUUCUUGAACUAAUAGAAAAUGUUUGAAGCACUUGUAUCAUUUUAGUAUCUUUAGACUGUUAAUAGAAGAUAAUGUUUUUUUU